GGUUAAGCGACUAAGCGUACACGGUGGAUGCCCUGGCAGUCAGAGGCGAUGAAGGACGUGCUAAUCUGCGAAAAGCGUCGGUAAGGUGAUAUGAACCGUUACAGCCGGCGAUGUCCGAAUGGGGAAACCCAGUGUGAUUCGUCACACUAUCGUUAACUGAAUACAUAGGUUAACGAGGCGAACCGGGGGAACUGAAACAUCUAAGUACCCCGAGGAAAAGAAAUCAACCGAGAUUCCCCCAGUAGCGGCGAGCGAACGGGGAGCAGCCCAGAGUCUGAAUCAGCUUGUGUGUUAGUGGAACGGUCUGGAAAGUCCGACGGUACAGGGUGAUAGUCCCGUACACCAAAAUGCACAGGCUGUGAACUCGAAGAGUAGGGCGGGACACGUGGUAUCCUGUCUGAAUAUGGGGGGACCAUCCUCCAAGGCUAAAUACUCCUGACUGACCGAUAGUGAACCAGUACCGUGAGGGAAAGGCGAAAAGAACCCCGGCGAGGGGAGUGAAAAAGAACCUGAAACCGUGUACGUACAAGCAGUGGGAGCACCUUCGGGUGUGACUGCGUACCUUUUGUAUAAUGGGUCAGCGACUUAUAUUCUGUAGCAAGGUUAACCGUAUAGGGGAGCCGCAGGGAAACCGAGUCUUAACUGGGCGUUAAGUUGCAGGGUAUAGACCCGAAACCCGGUGAUCUAGCCAUGGGCAGGUUGAAGGUUGGGUAACACUAACUGGAGGACCGAACCGACUAAUGUUGAAAAAUUAGCGGAUGACUUGUGGCUGGGGGUGAAAGGCCAAUCAAACCGGGAGAUAGCUGGUUCUCCCCGAAAGCUAUUUAGGUAGCGCCUCGUGAAUUCAUCUUCGGGGGUAGAGCACUGUUUCGGCUAGGGGGUCAUCCCGACUUACCAACCCGAUGCAAACUACGAAUACCGAAGAAUGUUAUCACGGGAGACACACGGCGGGUGCUAACGUCCGUCGUGAAGAGGGAAACAACCCAGACCGCCAGCUAAGGUCCCAAAGUCAUGGUUAAGUGGGAAACGAUGUGGGAAGGCACAGACAGCCAGGAUGUUGGCUUAGAAGCAGCCAUCAUUUAAAGAAAGCGUAAUAGCUCACUGGUCGAGUCGGCCUGCGCGGAAGAUGUAACGGGGCUAAACCAUGCACCGAAGCUGCGGCAGCGACACUAUGUGUUGUUGGGUAGGGGAGCGUUCUGUAAGCCUGCGAAGGUGACCUGUGAGGGUUGCUGGAGGUAUCAGAAGUGCGAAUGCUGACAUAAGUAACGAUAAAGCGGGUGAAAAGCCCGCUCGCCGGAAGACCAAGGGUUCCUGUCCAACGUUAAUCGGGGCAGGGUGAGUCGACCCCUAAGGCGAGGCCGAAAGGCGUAGUCGAUGGGAAACAGGUUAAUAUUCCUGUACUUGGUGUUACUGCGAAGGGGGGACGGAGAAGGCUAUGUUAGCCGGGCGACGGUUGUCCCGGUUUAAGCAUGUAGGCUGAUUAUCCAGGCAAAUCCGGAUAAUCAAGGCUGAGGUGUGAUGACGAGGCACUACGGUGCUGAAGUAACAAAUGCCCUGCUUCCAGGAAAAGCCUCUAAGCAUCAGGUAACAUCAAAUCGUACCCCAAACCGACACAGGUGGUCAGGUAGAGAAUACCAAGGCGCUUGAGAGAACUCGGGUGAAGGAACUAGGCAAAAUGGUGCCGUAACUUCGGGAGAAGGCACGCUGGUGUGUAGGUGAAGUCCCUGCGGAUGGAGCUGAGACCAGUCGAAGAUACCAGCUGGCUGCAACUGUUUAUUAAAAACACAGCACUGUGCAAACACGAAAGUGGACGUAUACGGUGUGACGCCUGCCCGGUGCCGGAAGGUUAAUUGAUGGGGUUAUCCGUAAGGAGAAGCUCUUGAUCGAAGCCCCGGUAAACGGCGGCCGUAACUAUAACGGUCCUAAGGUAGCGAAAUUCCUUGUCGGGUAAGUUCCGACCUGCACGAAUGGCGUAAUGAUGGCCAGGCUGUCUCCACCCGAGACUCAGUGAAAUUGAACUCGCUGUGAAGAUGCAGUGUACCCGCGGCAAGACGGAAAGACCCCGUGAACCUUUACUAUAGCUUGACACUGAACAUUGAGCCUUGAUGUGUAGGAUAGGUGGGAGGCUUUGAAGCGUGGACGCCAGUCUGCGUGGAGCCAACCUUGAAAUACCACCCUUUAAUGUUUGAUGUUCUAACGUUGGCCCCUGACCGGGGUUGCGGACAGUGUCUGGUGGGUAGUUUGACUGGGGCGGUCUCCUCCCAAAGCGUAACGGAGGAGCACGAAGGUUAGCUAAUCCUGGUCGGACAUCAGGAGGUUAGUGCAAUGGCAUAAGCUAGCUUGACUGCGAGCGUGACGGCGCGAGCAGGUGCGAAAGCAGGUCAUAGUGAUCCGGUGGUUCUGAAUGGAAGGGCCAUCGCUCAACGGAUAAAAGGUACUCCGGGGAUAACAGGCUGAUACCGCCCAAGAGUUCAUAUCGACGGCGGUGUUUGGCACCUCGAUGUCGGCUCAUCACAUCCUGGGGCUGAAGUAGGUCCCAAGGGUAUGGCUGUUCGCCAUUUAAAGUGGUACGCGAGCUGGGUUUAGAACGUCGUGAGACAGUUCGGUCCCUAUCUGCCGUGGGCGCUGGAGAAUUGAGGGGGGCUGCUCCUAGUACGAGAGGACCGGAGUGGACGCAUCACUGGUGUUCGGGUUGUCAUGCCAAUGGCACUGCCCGGUAGCUAAAUGCGGAAGAGAUAAGUGCUGAAAGCAUCUAAGCACGAAACUUGCCCCGAGAUGAGUUCUCCCUGAGACUUUAAGUCUCCUGAAGGAACGUUAAAGACGAUGACGUUGAUAGGCCGGGUGUGUAAGCGCAGCGAUGCGUUGAGCUAACCGGUACUAAUGAACCGUGAGGCUUAACCUU
rnacentral:rRNA from 1 species